UCCUUAAACUCAUAUUUCUGAUAUUGUUCAGAGUUUUACGGGAUAAUCUACGAGGUAAGCUAUAAUUUUUAUGUAUUUUCCUCAAUGCUUAAUUAUCUGGAUUUGCAUGCAAGCUCUACACCUCACAGUAUCUUUUUGCGGUUUUUAUUUUUGCAAUUUUUAUUUGGAUCAGGGUGCCUGUGGCUCAGUGGUAUUUUUAGUGCUAACAUUUAUGCAUUUUCUGAUCAUGUUCAGUAGGACAUUUAUUGGUUGCAUGUUAUGUGUUUGAUCAAAUGUCAAGACGAUAUUUUUGGGUAUGUUUUCUUAUUUCUUAUUUUAAUUUUAAAUUUGUGGCACUUUUAAAAUUAUUAGUUAUAACUAAAAAGUGUAGUUUGGUUGGAUCCAAUCUAUACUUUGAAAUAAACAACUCGCUUUCAUAUUUGUUUUUUGUUUUUUAUUUCCCUCAACUGCCAUUUCCCGUUGGCCUAGAGCUACAACUAGAGCUGCCAAGGUAUUUCUAGCAUUCUCCAUCUUCGGAUUUUUUUUUAUUUUUCUGCUUCUUCAGCUUCUUUUAGAUUUGUUGACAGUACAAGUUUUUUUUUUUUUUUUUUUGCUUGAUCAGGUUCUGAGGGUAAUUUUAGGAGCCUCCAUUCCCAUUUGUUAAAGGGCCAAGAUGGUUUUCCUUUUGCAAUGAAGGUAUUAUGUUCCAAGACAUUACUACUCUAUUGCUUUCUGUUGUUGCAGUAGGUAUUAUGUUCCAAGACAUUACUACAUUCUGCUUCACUAGUCGGUGAUGUGUUUCUUUCCACCAUAUCAUUCAUGUCUACCUUUGUUUUUGCAGUUGAAAAAUAGGAGUAGCAAGCAUGGGAUUGAUGAGUGUUUCUGGGUUUUGUUUUUAUGUUCCUGGUGUUGGAAGUUUUAAGUUUUGUUUUGUUUUUUUGCCAAAUUUCCUCAGUUUUUGUGUGGAUUAUGGUUUUAUUUUUUUUUUGUUUUUUUUUCUUUUUUCCUUUUAAUCUCUUUGCAGGAAAUCGUGCCACUUAAGGAAGUUUUUCAAACUCUGAGGUGUGAUUCAAAUGGACUCACAAGUCACAAUAGCAUCUGCAGAAAGGCUUUCACAUUCCGGCAAGGAUAGGAUUCUCGCUUCAAUAUUCACAAAAUUGAAAUUAUUGUGGCUCUUCCAUCAACCAAUGAUUGGAAACUAUUUGUUUUUUGUUAUUCUUAUAUGACAAAUAAGUCAUUGAUUCUUACUCAAUUUUUGUUGCUCGAGAUUAUGCAUUUUUUUAU